rnacentral:rRNA from 1 species
UAGGGAAUCUUCCGCAAUGGGCGAAAGCCUGACGGAGCAACGCCGCGUGAGUGAUGACGGUCUUCGGAUCGUAAAACUCUGUUAUUAGGGAAGAACAAAUGUGUAAGUAACUAUGCACGUCUUGACGGUACCUAAUCAGAAAGCCACGGCUAACUACGUGCCAGCAGCCGCGGUAAUACGUAGGUGGCAAGCGUUAUCCGGAAUUAUUGGGCGUAAAGCGCGCGUAGGCGGUUUUUUAAGUCUGAUGUGAAAGCCCACGGCUCAAGCGUGGAGGGUCAGUGGAAACUGGAAAACUUGUGUGCAGAAGAGGAAAGUGGAAUUCCAUGUGUGGCGGUGAAAUGCGCAGUGAUAUGGAGGAACACCAGUGGCGAAGGCGACUUUCUAGUCUGUAACUGACGCUGAUGUGCGGAAGCGUGGGGAUCAAACAGG